rnacentral:rRNA from 1 species
UACAGAGGUCUCAAGCGUUGUUCGGAAUUACUGGGCGUAAAGGGCGCGUAGGCGGCCGCCUAAGUCAGACGUGAAAUCCCUCGGCUCAACCGGGGAAUUGCGUCUGAUACUGGGUGGCUUGAAUUCGGGAGAGGGAUGCGGAAUUCCAGGUGUAGCGGUGAAAUGCGUAGAUAUCUGGAGGAACACCGGUGGCGAAGGCGGCAUCCUGGACCGAGAUUGACGCUGAGGCGCGAAAGCCAGGGGAGCAAACGGG